UACAGAGGGUGCAAGCGUUGUUCGGAAUUACUGGGCGUAAAGCGUGCGUAGUCGGUAUUGAGAGUCGCGGGUGAAAUCCCAGGGCUUAAUCCUGGAACUGCCUGCGAGACCUCAGUACUAGAGUGUGAGAGGGGAUAGUGGAAUACCCAGUGUAGCGGUGAAAUGCGUAGAGAUUGGGUGGAACACCGGUGGCGAAGGCGGCUAUCUGGCUCACAACUGACGAUCAGGCACGAAAGCGUGGGGAGCAAACAGG
rnacentral:rRNA from 1 species